rnacentral:rRNA from 1 species
ACGGCUCAGUAACACGUGGUCAAUCUAAGAAAGUGGCGCAUACCCUCGGGAAACUGAGGUUAAUUCGUCAUAGACAAUAGCAUCUGGAAGGAGCAAUGGUCCAAAGAGGUGUGAAUUGUAGCACUUUCGCUUUACGAUGAGAUUGCGGCGGAUCAGGCUGUUGGCGGGGUAACGGCCCACCAAACCGAUAACCUAUAGGGGAUGUGAGAGCAUAGGCCCCGAGAAGGGCACUGAGACAAGGGCCCUAGCGCUACGGCGUGCAGCAGGCGCGCAAACUCCACAAUGCGCGGAAGCGUGAUGGGGGGAAUCUGAGCGGUUCACUUCGGUGAACCUUUUGCCAAGUGUAGCACGCUUGGCGAAUAAGUGCUGGGCAAGACCGGUGGCAGCCGCCACGGUAAUACCGGCAGCACAAGUGGUGUCCACGAUUAUUGGGCUUAAAGCGCUCGUAGCUGGCCUGAACCGUCUCAUGUGAAAUAUUGGCGCUCAACGUCAAUGCGUGCAUGAGAUACCUUCAGGCUAGGGAGUGGGUGAGGUCAGGAGUACUUACGGGGAAGGGGUAAAAUCCUAUAAUCCUGUAAGGACUAACGGUGGCGAAGGCGCCUGACUAGAACACAUCCGACAGUGAGGAGCGAAGGCUAGGAGAACGAAUCGGAUUAGAUACCCGAGUAGCCCUAGCAGUAAAUUAUGCAGACUCUGAUGUUGCAAUCACCUCGGGUGAUUGCAGUACCGUAGCGUAAGUAUUAAGUCUGCCGCCUGGGGAGUACGGCCACAAGGUUGAAACUUAAAGGAAUUGGCGGGGGAG